CAGUGUGUCAGUAGCAGCAGCAGAGAGAAGAUGCACAUCCCCUCCUGAGUGUCGGCGAAGUUGUGAAAGUGAUGACACAAGGUCAGGAAUUUGAAGCGAGAUGUCCCCAUCCUGAUUCUCUGACAUGGAUACCCUUUGCUAAAGGAGAAACGGCAACAGUCAGAUCAUGCUUGCUCUCUUCAGGUCCAGCUAGGCUCAGACUGGCACACUAUCACUUCUCCAGCAUUCUAUAGGUCAACAAAACAAACAAGGAAGCAGGAUGCAUAGACGACAAAUGAGACCUCUGAUUUAUCUGAUUUCUCACUGAAAGAUACCUAAAGUUUCCACUAUCUUCCAACAGCCCAUUUGUCUGUGAGCCCAUAAACUAAUUAAUCUAUUCAUAAAAUAAGAAGUUUCACUAUCCAACCACCUCCCAAAUGACUUACUUUCUGAUUACUGUGAGGUUGAGGACCAAAACUCCAACACAUGAGAUAGAUAUUGGGAGACAUUUAAGAUCUAAACUAUGACACAUGUCACUUUCAACAACAACAAAAAUAGGGAAUAUAAAAUGUAGAUACAGAGGAAAGAGAGAAGUGAUCCUUU